GCCGGGCAUAGUGGCGUGUGCCUGUAAUCCCAGCUACUUGGGAGGCUGAGUCAGGCGAAUUGCUUGAACCCAGGAAUUGGAGGUUUCAGUGAGCUGAGAUUGCGCCACUGUACUCUAGCCUGGGUGACAGAGUGAGACUCCAUCUCAA
rnacentral:SRP_RNA from 1 species